GACGGACCCGCACAAGCGGUGGAUCAUGUUGUUUAAUUCGAUGAUACGCGAAGAACCUUACCAGGUCUUGACACUCCCCGCGAUGCUUUUAGAGAUAAAGCGGAGGUAUUCGGGGAGACAGGUGGUGCAUGGUUGUCGUCAGCUCGUGUCGUGAGAUGUUGGGUUAAGUCCCGCAACGAGCGCAACCCCUAUUGCUAGUUACCAUCAUUAAGUUGGGGACUCUAGCGAGACUGCCAGUGAUAAACUGGAGGAAGGUGGGGAUGACGUCAAAUCAUCAUGCCCCUUAUGACCUGGGCUACAAACGUGAUACAAUGGCUGGAACAAAGGGAUGCGAAGCAGUGAUGUGGAGCGAAACCCAUAAAAACAGUCUCAGUUCGGAUUGAAGUCUGCAACUCGACUUCAUGAAGUCGGAAUCGCUAGUAAUCGCGGAUCAGAACGCCGCGGUGAAUACGUUCUCGGGGUUU
rnacentral:rRNA from 1 species